rnacentral:rRNA from 1 species
AUACAGAGGGUGCGAGCGUUAAUCGGAAUUACUGGGCGUAAAGCGCGCGUAGGCGGCUUAUUAAGUCAGAUGUGAAAUCCCCGGGCUCAACCUGGGAACUGCAUCUGAUACUGGUAAGCUAGAGUUUUGGAGAGGGAAGUAGAAUUUCAGGUGUAGCGAUGAAAUGCAUAGAGAUCUGAAGGAAUACCAGUGGCGAAGGCGACUUCCUGGCCAAAAACUGACGCUGAGGUGCGAAAGCGUGGGUAGCAAACGGGAGUAGAAACCCUAGUAGUCC